UGCCUGGGCUAGGUUUCCAGACAGGACAGUAGGCGUGGGGUAUGCCUGGGCUAGGUUUCCAGACAGGACAGUAGGCGUGGGGUAUGCCUGGGCUAGGUUUCCAGGCAGGACAGUAGGCGUGGGGUAUGCCUGGGCUAGGUUUCCAGGCAGGACAGUAGGCGUGGGGUAUGCCCGGUUCAGGUUUCCAGACAGGACAGUAGGCGUGGGGUAUGCCUGGGCUAGGUUUCCAGACAGGACAGUAGGCGUGGGGUAUGCCUGGGCUAGGUUUCCAGACAGGACAGUAGGCGUGGGGUAUGCCUGGGCUAGGUUUCCAGGCAGGACAGUAGGUGUGGGGUAUGCCUGGGC